GCCACCACGUAAGACAUGCCUUUGCUCUUCCUUUGCCUUCUGCCAUGAUUGUGAGGCCUCCCCAGCCAUGUGGAACUGAGUCCAUUCAACCUCUUUUUCUUUAUAAAUUACCCAGCCUUGGGUAUUUCUUCAUAGCAGUAUGAGAAUGGACUAAUAUCCCGUGGUUGUCAAUUCCAGAAGUGAAGCAUGUGUAUCCAUUCUUGUCGCGAGCAGAAGAGAGCGUGAUGUGAGUACUGGGGCACUGAGGCAAGCCCCAGAAGCAGAUGGCAGCCACAGCUGGCCUGGAGGGCCUGUCCCAGUGAGGGAGCUGCCCGAGCCACUCCUGCCCUGCUCCACCCACUGCACCUGCCUCCGGAGAGCCUCUUCCCACACUCCACACCAAUUCCACCUUGCCUAGGCAGCGCCAAAGCACCUUCUCUGAAAGCUGUUAAGUGAAGGCUGUGACUUCAGCCCCUUAGAUUCAGCUCUUGUCUGGGUGAUGGAGGACAAGGAUCUCGUCAGCUUCUCUGGGUUGGGACAGGCUGCAGCGUGGUCCAGGGCUGACUCUGGAGACAGUUCUGUCUGAAAUGAUAGGAAGUGCCCCAUGAGGCCCCAAGCCCGGCUCUGCCUGACUGUGCCUGGCAUUGACCACGCCAGGGAAAUGGGAAAAGGCUCCGGAGAAGGAUGGUGAUGCCCUUGAGGAGGAAAGGCACAGGGCAGCCCAGGAAGAAAGGAAACUCACCGGGGAAAUGAAGACUCAGUUGAUCUUCCUGUGCUGAGACCCUCUAGCAGAAUCACAACAGAGAGACACGUGACCUCUGGACACUAUGCUGAGCCCCGAGCAUGGAUUGCCUGGAACACUUCAUUACUUGAAACACAGAGCAAGAAGCAGAAGUUACAAAUCAGGUGUUCUCUUUAAGAAGCUGUAUGGAGAGUUUGUCCUUACACUUGAAUAGUUGCUUCAUUACCUCCCUUAUCUCAGAAGGACAUGCACAGUAAGGUUAUGAAGAACUGGCUUCCAAAUAAUAUUAAGAGCAAGUCACCUAGACUGGAACCAGCAGGUCCAUAUGGCAGACCAGGGACAGCGGGAAGAACACCUAAGUGGAACCCUGAAGCUACUUCCCACUCUGUGACUUUAGGGUCCAUAGAAUUAUGGACCUGGAUACUGGAUGGCAGAUGUGAAAUCCCUUCUUCUUAUUCAAUGCUUAUGCAAAUAUGUGCUAUUGUCAUUGCAAACAUGGUAUGUGCCCUGGAGGGGAACAAUGACUCCAUUAAAUUUUCUGGCCCUGGAAUUCCGUAAAGGAAGUAGUCCAUGGCCCUAGCCCAGGUUUUUCAGCCUCCACACUAUUGCCCAGUAGGCCCUGGAGAUGCCCUGUGUGGGGCCCUGUGCCCAGAGCGGCAUCCCUGGGCUCCACCCUGCAGGUGCCCUGGAUAUCAGCAGAAACUCCCACCAAGUCCUGACAAUAGAAAGUGUCUCCAGACAUGCCCAAGUGUCCCUCGGGGGCAAAACCACCAGUUUGGGAGACCCUGCCUAGGAAAGGUUUUUGUCUUGCUUUUUGUAGAGAGGCCACACAGUGAGAGGCUUCUCAGAAAGAAGGCGCAGUUCCCAGUGCUCAUUAACCUACAGAUUCAAUGACCAAUUCACUGCAGAGGGCAUCCAAAGGUUCUCGAACACAGAAGUUAGGAAAUGACCAUGAGAUAACAAACGGGGCUCUAUUUUGUAAAGGGGGUGCAGCCCGAUUUGGGAUUGCUAAUAAAAGACAAGUAAGUCUUUCAACUCGAUU
rnacentral:lncRNA from 10 species